UACGUAGGGUGCAAGCGUUGUCCGGAAUUAUUGGGCGUAAAGAGCUCGUAGGCGGUCUGUUGCGUCGGCUGUGAAAACCCGAGGCUCAACCUCGGGCCUGCAGCCGAUACGGGCAGACUAGAGUUCGGCAGGGGAGACUGGAAUUCCUGGUGUAGCGGUGAAAUGCGCAGAUAUCAGGAGGAACACCGGUGGCGAAGGCGGGGUCUCUGGGCAGUAAACUGACGC
rnacentral:rRNA from 1 species